AGAGUUUGAUCAUGGCUCAGAAUCAACGCUGGCGGCGCGCCUAACACAUGCAAGUCGCACGAGAAAGCGGGAGCAAUCUCGCAAGUACAGUGGCGUACGGGUGAGUAACACGUGGAUCAUCUGCCCUGGAGUGGGGAAUAACGCUGGGAAACCGGCGCUAAUACCGCAUAUUCCCGAGAGGGGAAAGCAGCAAUGCGCUCGAGGAGGAGUCCGCGGCCGAUUAGCUAGUUGGCAGGGUAAAAGCCUACCAAGGCUGUGAUCGGUAGCCGGCCUGAGAGGGCACACGGCCACACUGGCGCUGAAACACGGGCCAGACUCCUACGGGAGGCAGCAGUGGGGAAUCUUGCACAAUGGGGGGAACCCUGAUGCAGCGACGCCGCGUGAGCGAUGAAGCCCUUCGGGGUGUAAAGCUCUUUCGGCAGGGAAGAUUAUGACGGUACCUGCAGAAGCAGCUGCGGCUAACUACGUGCCAGCAGCCGCGGUAAUACGUAGGCAGCAAGCGUUGUUCGGAGUUACUGGGCGUAAAGGGUGUGUAGGCGGCCUGUUAAGUUCCGUGUGAAAUCUCCCGGCUCAACCGGGAGGGUGCGCGGAAUACUGACGGGCUAGAGUGCGGGAUGGGAGAGUAGAAUUCCUGGUGUAGCGGUGAAAUGCGUAGAUAUCAGGAGGAAUACCGGUGGUGUAGACGGCUCUCUGGACCGCAACUGACGCUGAAACACGAAAGCGUGGGUAGCAAACAGGAUUAGAUACCCUGGUAGUCCACGCCCUAAACGAUGCAUAUUUGGUGUAGGUCAUUCAGUUGAUCUGUGCCGGAGCUAACGCGUUAAAUAUGCCGCCUGGGGAGUACAGUCGCAAGGCUGAAACUCAAAGGAAUUGACGGGGGCCCGCACAAGCGGUGGAGCAUGUGGUUCAAUUCGACGCAACGCGAAGAACCUUACCUGGGCUCGAACGGCUGGUCAACGAUCGUGGAAACACGGUUACCCCGCAAGGGGGUUCAGUCGAGGUGCUGCAUGGCUG
rnacentral:rRNA from 1 species